rnacentral:rRNA from 1 species
CGGGCCAGGGWGGGGUCUUCACGGCCGACCUCCACCCUCUGUUGUUAAAACUACCUUGUUGCUUUGGCGGGACCGUCUCGGUCUCCGAGCGCACUAACCCUCGGGUUGGUGAGCGCCCGCCAGAGUCCAACCAAACUCUUGUAUUAAACCAGUCGUCUGAGUAUAAAAUUUUAAUUAAAUUAAAACUUUCAACAACGGAUCUCUUGGUUCUCGCAUCGAUGAAGAACGCAGCGAAAUGCGAUAAGUAAUGUGAAUUGCAGAAUUCAGUGAAUCAUCGAAUCUUUGAACGCACAUUGCGCCCCUUGGUAUUCCGAGGGGCAUGCCUGUUCGAGCGUCAUUACACCACUCAAGCAUCGCUUGGUAUUGGGAACGGUCCGUCGAAAGGCGGGCCUUCCUCGAAGACCUCGGCGGGGUUCAACCAACUUCGGGCGUAGUAGAGUUAAAUCGAACGUCUUAUAAGCUUGGUCGGAUCUCAUUGCCGUUAAACCUUUAAAUUUUCUAGGUUGACCUCGGAUCAGGUAGGGAUACCCGCUGAACUUAAGCAUAUCAAUAAGCGGAGGGACGGAUCAUUAAAGAGAUA